rnacentral:rRNA from 1 species
CCCAGUCUUUGCCACGGUAGGACGGCUUCCAGAGAUGGAUUUCCCCCUUGGGGGGACCGACACCCGGUGGUGCAAGGGCGUUGUUCAGUUGGGUUGGGAGGUUGUUGGGUUAAUCCCGCCAAGAGGGCCAACCCUGGCCUUAGUUUCCCUCCUUUAGGUGGGCUCUUUAAAAGGAAUCCCGGGGGCUAACCGGGAGGAAGGUGGGGAUGACGUCAAGUCUUCAUGGCCCUUACACGAUGGGCUACACACGUGUUCCAAUGGCGAUUCCAGUGGGCAGCAAUUCCGGGAGGGUGAGCUAAUCUCCAAAAGUUGUCUCAGUUCGGAUUGUUCUCUGCAACUCGAGAGCAUGAAGGCGGAAUCGCUAGUAAUCGCGGAUCAGCAUGCCGCGGUGAAUACGUUCCCAGGCCUUGUACACACCGCCCGUCACACCAUGGGAAUUGGAUUCUUCCGAAGGUGUCUCACCUAAACGCAAGGAAGGCCAAGGCCAACCCAUUUUGUUUC